GGGUCGAUGCCCGAGCGGUUAAUGGGGACGGACUGUAAAUUCGUUGACAAAAUGUCUACGCUGGUUCAAAUCCAGCUCGGCCCA
rfam:Brachypodium distachyon strain Bd21 chromosome 1, whole genome shotgun sequence.